GCAGUAGCCACGGUAAUACGAAGGGGGCUAGCGUUGUUCGGAAUUACUGGGCGUAAAGCGCACGUAGGCGGAUAUUUAAGUCAGGGGUGAAAUCCCGCAGCUCAACUGCGGAACUGCCUUUGAUACUGGGUAUCUUGAGUAUGGAAGAGGUUAGUGGAAUUGCGAGUGUAGAGGUGAAAUUCGUAGAUAUUCGCAGGAACACCAGUGGCGAGGGCGGCUAACUGGUCCAUAACUGACGCUGAGGUGCGAAAGCGUGGGGAGCAAACAGGAUUAGAUACCCGCGUAGUCCCUGUCUCUUAUAC
rnacentral:rRNA from 1 species